rnacentral:misc_RNA from 1 species
AACGCACGAGACCUGCGGACCUGCGGAAGGAUCAUUACAGAGUGUUCUACCCCCUUUGCAAAAAAUGGUGGGUUUAACCUCCCGUCCUUUGCUGGACCCCUUCUAAAUGGGGGGGGGCCUUUUAAACCUUUUUGCUUCGGUGGGGUACACCCCACCGGAACAUCCUCAAAAAAUUCUUGAACAAAACCGGUUCAGUCCGAGAAAUUUUGUGGAAAAUUAGUGAAAAACUUUCAGCAACGG